rnacentral:rRNA from 1 species
UACGGAAGGUGCAAGCGUUGUCCGGAUUUAUUGGGUUUAAAGGGUGCGUAGGCGGCCCUGUAAGUCAGCGGUGAAAUCCCAGGGCUCAACCCUGGAACUGCCGUUGAUACUGCAGGGCUUGAGUUCGGUUAAGGCGGGCGGAACUGGUGGUGUAGCGGUGAAAUGCAUAGAUACCACCAAGAACCCCGAUUGCGUAGGCAGCUCGCUGAGCCGAAACUGACGCUGAGGCACGAAAGCGUGGGGAGCGAACAGG